CCCUGGUCCACAGUAAGGCAGCUGAAUGGCAGCACCGCGGUAAACAAAGAUACCCCAGCAAACCCCUGUGCCACAUGAUGUCCGGUGUCAACAAGGCCAAGGAUGCCCAGACCAGCAGAAGUGCUUGGGUGGCUGCUCCUCUGGUGUGUGUCGGGGUUCCUGGCCUUCCUCUUUCUGUUUGUCAGCAGAAGGAAUGGAGGGGCACAGCAACCUGGAAGGGAGCUUUGCUUGUUGGAGGAUGGCCAUCGGCCUGGCUUUGCCCCACAUGAAGAGGCAGGAGAGUUUAGAGGUGGUCUGCUAAGUAGACAUUGCCACAGGUGGCGCCAUGGUCUGCUGGGUAAAGGAGAGUGCUGCUUGCAAAGGAAGAACCAUUCAGUGAUCAGCUGUUCUGGGUGGAAAAGCUGCCGGUAGGUGCCAGUCCGCACUUCAUCUGAACAACAGAGAAAAUGUAUAAACUUAGAAGAGAACCCUCAGGUGAAUUAUUAGAAAAGAUUUGCAAGGGUAAAACAUAUUUUGGGACACUCCUACUUUCUGAUUCUCCAUACUCCUGUCUUACAUAUGAACAUGAAGAAAGCAUUUUCCACAGUUAACAAAAGAAAAAUAAAAUCACACACACAUACACAAUGAUUAGAAGGGAACCUCUCUAAGUAGGUUAAAUUGUACUCAUAACCAGUGUGGGUU